CAGGAACAGAAAACCAAAUACUUUAUGUUCUUACUUAUAAGUGGGAGCUAAAUGAUGAGAACACAUGGGUACAGGUCAGGGAACAAGACAUACUGGUGCCU